rnacentral:lncRNA from 1 species
CACAACAUAUCAAAAAGAAAAACAAACCUCCAGUCCUAUCAAUCUUUUCUCAUUUAUAAUAAUAAAAAAGGGGGGAAUUGUGAAUAAAUUAAAAUUUACCAAGUAAUUAAAACCCGAUCGCCUCGGCGCGGUCAUGCUCAAUGACCGAAACCCACGCUUCGGUAGGAAACUGACCAUACGAUAGAUAAGACACCUUUACAGGC